CGACGCCAUCCCCCCGCCCAGGGCCAAGGGGGAGCAGGGCUGUGGAGAGCAUGACCCCCUUGUUAAAUCACGUCUGCCUUUAUGCCUUGAUACACCACACAGAGAGAUGACGGGAGAUACCACCAAGAUGAGAUGCCAACCUGGGAGAGGCUCUGCAGGUCCCCUGGUGCCCACGUCUACCUGGCUUGUCCCCACAGGUGGGUUUUCUGAGACAAGGGGGCUUUUGGACACAGGUCUGUCCCCAGAGCCAGCCAGCAGCUCCAGAGAAGAGACAGCAGGU
rnacentral:lncRNA from 1 species